AGAUUUUUGUUGCGGCUUUCUCUUUACUCUUGGAGCAUAAUUCCCUAUUGAGGACCCAAUGCAUUUUGUUAUUGUUCUACCAUUAGUGAUUUACAAAUCCCACCAUCCUCAUCAUAGCUGUGGCCGUGUAUUUACCCUACUUAGAAGCAUCACCAUAGAAGUUCAGGCUGGAAGGAGCUUAGUCCAUUUUGACCAAGUUCCUCAAUCUUUUUUUUAGCAGCAGGAUCUUUCCCCAGAGCCUGAUAUAUGGCAUGAAGCAGAGACACCCCACAUGUUCAGGGGUUCAUUCACAGCAUGCCUGCAGCCUGUGCCAGUGUAAGUGAAUGCUUAAAAGGCACUCCUUUUGAUCCUCUUCUCUAAAUUGUCCCG
rnacentral:lncRNA from 1 species